rnacentral:rRNA from 1 species
UACGUAGGAGACGAGCGUUGUCCGGAAUCACUGGGCGUAAAGAGCGUGUAGGCGGCCCGGUAAGUCCGCUGUGAAAGUCGGGGGGCUCAACCCUCGGAUGCCGGUGGAUACUGUCGGGCUCGAGUACGGAAGAGGCGAGUGGAAUUCCUGGUGUAGCGGUGAAAUGCGCAGAUAUCAGGAGGAACACCUAUUGCGAAGGCAGCUCGCUGGGACGUUACUGACGCUGAGACGCGAAAGCGUGGGGGAGCAAACAGG